UGAUAAUAUUAAAUAUGAAUUUUUGUGUGAUGCUAUUUUUAUCUAAAUGAUUUUAUUGGUAUUUAUUUGUAGUUUUUAGUUUUGAUUGAACAGGUAAUCCUGGAUUCAGUUAAUUUAUAGUAGGAUUGUUUAAGGUUAUGCCAGCAAACGCGGUUAUAUAAUCAAUUCGAAUUAAUUUUUUUGGUUAUUUAUUUAUUUAUUAUUUUUGAGAGUUAAUAUGUAUUUUAGAGGUGAAAUUUUAAAUAUAUUUAUAUUUUUUAGGUCUAAGAUUAUAAUAAGGUUAGAAAAGAAACUAGGAUUAGAUACCCUAUUAUUCUAACUGUGAGUUGUUAACCAUAGUAUUAUUAGUUAAGGUCUUUAAAUUAAAAGAAUUUGGCGGUAAUUUAGUCUUUUCAGAGGAACCUGUUCUGUAAUUGAUAAUCCACGUUGGAUUUAACUUUAAUUAUUAUUUGUAUAUCUCUGUCAUUGAAUGUUUUAUUAGAAUAUUUUCUUUUAUUAUUAUUUAAUUAAUGUCAGGUCAAGGUGCAGUUAUAUUAAAGGUUGAAAUGGGUUACAUUUAAUUUUAUUUAUUGGAUUAUGUUGUUGGAUAUAAACACAUUAUAAAAAGGAUUUGAAGGUAAUUUUCUUUAUUUUAUGAUAAUGAUUUUAGCUCUAAAUUAUGCACACAUCGCCCGUCAUUCUCAUUUUUAAGAUGAGAUAAGUCGUAACAAAGUAACUUUACCGGAAGGUGAAGUUUGAAUUAUA
rnacentral:ncRNA from 1 species